rnacentral:rRNA from 1 species
CAACAGCUAGAGUUUGAUCCUGGCUCAGGAUGAACGCUGGCGGCGUGCUUAAUACAUGCAAGUCGAACGGAGACAGUAGCAAUAUUGUCUUAGUGGCGAACGGGUGAGUAACGCGUUGGUGACCUGCCCCGAAGUGUGGGAUAACAGUUCGAAAGGAUUGCUAAUACCACAUGUGGUCAUUUGGAUUAGAUGCCUUAUGACUAAAGGAUUAUUCGCUUCGGGAGGGGCCUGCGUCCCAUCAGCUAGUUGGUAAGGUAACGGCCUACCAAGGCGAUGACGGGUAGGGGACCUGAGAGGGUGGCCCCCCACAAUGGAACUGAAACACGGUCCAUACACCUACGGGUGGCAGCAGUAGGGAAUAUUGGUAAUCUGGGAAACCGGGAACCAGCAACGCCGCGUGCGCGAUGAAGGCCUUCGGGUUGUAAAGCGCUUUUUGAAGGGAUGAGGAAGGACAGUACCUUCAGAAUAAGCCUCGGCUAAACUACGUGCC